rnacentral:snRNA from 1 species
AGCUGGCAGUAUCAUAACCAAUGAAGUUAAUCUGAGGUAUGAUUAUUGCUAGUUGAAAUCUUUUCUCUAAUAGGAGGCGGAAGAUACCUGAAUCUCUGCUGAACAAUGCAUGGAAUAGCCAUAAUUA